AUUUUGGACAAUGGGGGAAACUCUGAUCCAGUCAUCCCGCGUGUGCGAUGAAGGCAUUCGGGUUGUAAAGCACUUUUGUCAUGGAAGCAAAGGUUCUGGCUAAUAUCUGGAACUGACGACGGUACCUGAUGCAUAAGCUCAGGCUAACUACGUCCCAGCAGCCGCGGUAAUACGUAGGGUUCAAGCGUUAAUCGGAAUUACUGGGCGCAAAGCGUGCGCAGGCGGUUCGGAAAGAAGAAUGUGAAAUCCCAGGGCUCAACCUUGGAACUGCAUUCUUAACUACCGAACUAGAGUAUGUCAGAGGGGGGUAGAAUUCCGCGUGUAGCAGUGAAAUGCGUAGAUAUGCGGAGGAAUACCGAUGGCGAAGGCAGCCCCCUGGGAUAAUACUGACGCUCAUGCACGAAAGCGUGGGUAGCAAACAGG
rnacentral:rRNA from 1 species